rnacentral:snRNA from 1 species
AUUGCUUCUCAGACUUUUGGCUAAGAUCAACUAUAGCAUCUAUUCUUAUCAGUUUAAUAUCUGAUACGUACUCUACCCAAGGACAAUAUAUUAAAUGGAUUUUUGGAGCAGGGAGAUGGAAGAGGGGUUUGCGCCAUUCACUCCAUGCAUCACCGGGUACUGCAGUGCCUCCAGGAAAAGCGUAUACCAA